UACGUAGGGGGCGAGCGUUGUCCGGAAUUAUUGGGCGUAAGGAGCGUGUAGGCGGUUCGGUAAGUUCUGCCGUGAAAACCUGAGGCUCAACCCGUCGGGCGUGCGGUGGGAUACUGCCGGGCUAGAGGACGGUAGAGGCGAGUGGAAUUCCCGGGUGUAGCGGUGAAAUGCGCAGAUAUCGGGAGGAACACCAGUAGCGAAGGCGGCUCGCUGGGACGUAACUGGACGCUGAGACGCGAAAGCGUGGGGAGCAAACAGGG
rnacentral:rRNA from 1 species